UUAAAUUUAAUAAUUUCAGACUGUUCAUGAUCACACAUGCGUGCGCAGCUCGCAGCACGCAGCACGCUAAGCGUAAAAUCCGCUACGUUCAUUUGAAGGCGAACACGAAGGUAGCAUAAUUGAUAAACUAAUUCGAGAGCAGUCGAGGUACGUUUGAUUUCGCAAACGAUGUAGAGGGAGGUAGACUUUCGUAAGUGAUGUAAGGGACUUACCUAAUUGGUUAAUGGUCGAUUAAAUGACAAAUUCCUAACACGAAAGUGACAUAUCGAUAGGUUAGCCGAGCGAUUAGACAGUUCUAGCGAAGCGUCCUCCGCGUCGUCAAGGAAACCAGAUUACGUUAAAGCUACCGUAUCACGUACUGUUAACCAACCUCUGGGCCUCGUUGACGAUUGUCUGUCACGGAAGUCUCUUUAACACGUGCCCCUAAAGCGGCGCUGCUUACGCGGCAAUGCACGAUUCUCAGUAUACAUGAAUUUCACGAAACGGCUAUCAGUUUUAAGUAACCUACGGCAAAAUAUAUUGCGAUACGUGUAUCGAUCUUUAGAUUUCACGAGACAGCGUAGUUCGCGUUUUGAUGCGCUAACGUCGGGACAUAGAAUCUUUAGGAAUAUACGAGAUAUCUUGCAACGUUGGUGUUGUUACGAAUAACGACAGAUAAAUGAAUUAUGAAAAAAGAGUCACAGGACUUUGCUUACCGAUUAGAUCUGUGUUAAGUGAUUCGUGCGGAAACCUCAACUUCCUCAUCGCCCAGAUCACCUAUUCUGCACGAGAGAUGAUUCGCCAGCAAGGUAAUCAGAAAUGCAGGUAUAACAUGACUUUUAUGUUGACGAAGAUGAAAAUCGUCGUUAAGCGUUCGAUGCUGCUUGGACGUCGCCAUAUUGUUUCUCAAUAUUCGGCGCCAAUUUUAGAAAACGAUAAGGAUACAUCACUGUUGCGCGGACGAAGGAGUAUAAGUCAGAAUUAUGGUAUUAGUUUUGCGGAGGAGCGCUUACAAUAUCCUAGAUGCGAUAUAGAAUUAGACGUAGGUGGUUAUGGUUAGGUGCAUUGAAAAUAUUCUUCAUAGAAAUGAGGCGAAGAAGGAUAAAGUAAAAGGAAAUUUCAUGGCAUUUUGAAGUUAAGAAAAUAAAAUUUAUCGAACUGAAGAAUAUCGAUGUCUAUGAAGAGAAAUUAAAAAAGCUAAACUUAAAUUAAAGAUAAUCAUUAAACGUUAAUGAAAAAGCACAGAAUUAUGGUAGAAUUAUCGUAGUAGUAGGAAAAGUAGUGGACAACUCUCUGCAGUUUACACGAAAAAAAAAAAAUGAUGCAACCGUUUGCGUGCUGCGUCUUUCGAUGUAUCCAACUCGUCAUGUUAAAUCGCUUGAAAAAAUUGGAAACUAAUUCGAGAAUUAUUUAUCAAAUACAAUCGUGGCUCACGAAAGCGUUCGAAUUCUAUUAGAAAGUUUAUGUGUAUAUUACAAUUCAAAAUAUUUUCUAAUCUCAUUAGUAACGAGAUACAACUAUCGCGAUUAUGUUGCUAAAAUUGAGAAUGUAUAUAGAAGUUAGAAGAUCAUUAUAGAGAGUAAGAAGAUAUAAGCAGGAGUCAUUUAUCCACUGUUAACUAAGCUAGAAUACGUGACGAAACCGUCUUUAGCACUAAUUGCAUGUUUAAGACCGCUAUUCACUAAUUUUUUAUUCAGCGUAUGAUUGCAAUAAAUGUCUUCUAGCUUAAAUAUAUCUACGAAUUGGUUUCAAAUUUCACUAUUAUAAUACGAUAGUCGUGUCUCAUUACGGUGCUAACGAAGUUUCGAAAAGUUUCACGUAACGUGUCUAAUAUAUUAAAAAAAAAAAAAGAAAAAUUAUAUUCUGAAAUAAUGCGAAGAAAAUGGCAAAAACGUAAAAGAAAUUCCGUGCCAAGCGUUCGGAUACUUUCGUGAACUACUGUGUAUUCUAGACACGUGACAAUAUUAAACGAUUGAAACAAAAAUGAACACAUGCAUCGUCAGCAAGGCAUCGAUUAACUUUUGACUCGUACGAUGGAGGAAGAAGUGCCGAAGAAUUAUACUCAUCGAUGAAAAAUAUUUUCAAUCUAGAUGAUUUAGAUGGCUUCGAUUAUUACGAUGUAUCAGUGCAUAGCAAAAGAAAGAUUACGAAAGCGCGGCGUGAAAUGGCUGCGGGGAUUACAAUGCUUUGAGCAGGUAUGCGUUACGAUUGAAAGACUGAUAUUCAUCCUGAAUUGUACGAGAUAGCAAUCAUGAAAAGAGCUAGUGCAGCUAUAAACGAGACUGCCUAUGUACUUUAGACACAGAGAUUCGAACGCAAUUAAAGAAUUGGAAGAAAAGAGGUUCGCGAUUGGUAUCAAAAUGAAUCUCGUGGAAAACGAGAAACUUGCGAGUGCUGCACCGAAAGGAACGUGUCACGAACACCUUCUUCAAGAGAAUAAAAAAAGCAAGACUCGACCGAUUGUGGAUCUUAAGUACCGUUUUCAGCGAAGCAGCAACGAGAAACAUUUUGUUGGUGUUCCGUGUUUCUUGAAAAGGUCGCCGUUUGUUGUCGAGCGUUUCUCCAAGUUUUUUCUUGUUUCCGUUACCGGCAACAAAUGUCGUCGCUUGCUUCCUGUUCCCAUUGGGAAUGGUAAAGAUCAAAGAAAAAUAGGCAACGAAAACAAAUGUCCAUUCAGUGUAUACACGUUACUGGCGACGAAUAGCCUGAAACCUAAUACAAAAUUCAAAUGUUCCUUAGAUUACGUUGCCUCGGUGUGGACAAAACGUGUCUAUAAGCUGCUAUUCGUUGGAAAUGCCUUGGAACAUGUAGCGAAAAGGCGUUGUUCGACGUUGCAUCCGGAGGGGGGCAGUAGAACGUUAUUCACACAUGGUAGAACAGAAAAAUAGAUCGUUGCUUGAAAUGGCACGCCGCGUGCUGAUUGUCGCAAAUCUCGAGAAGAAAUAUUGGUGCAAAGCCAUAAAUACAGUAACUUGCUUAUAGAAUAAACUACGGAAGAUAAGAGAUAACGUGCCUAAAAGAGGACACGCUUGACCAUGGUAGAUAAAAUGGAUAUGAAUGUGAAGCAUUUCGAUGCGAAUACAGCGAUUUAGCAUAUACAUAUACAUCGUAUACAUAUUCAGUGAAUGCUGCAAUAGAGAAUUGAAGGAGAUAAUAUGUAUACAUAACGCAACCCGAGGGCUACGCUGUCUCAAGUAAAUGUGGUUACGUAUGCAAAUUGAAAAAGGGCAUCUGCGGAUUAAACAAGCGGCAACGUUAUGAAACGACAGAUGUAGGAUCCUGGUUUUAAGAAAUACGUUUAUCUUACAUUUUACUAAGGAUAUAUUUACGUUACAUAUAUUUACGGUGUUGCGAUUAAUUUUAAGUUCAAACAUAUUUCCGGCAUCGUUUUUUUGAUAUUUCCAAGAAAGUGAAAAACGAAUUUGUUUACGUAAUGCGUCAAAUGUAUACUGCUACAUGUAUGUAUGUAAAUGCUAUAGGAUUACACGGCGAGUUAUUGAACUUUCGUAACUGAAGUAGAAAAAACAAAAAGCCAAGUUUUCAACAAGACAACGUUUUUAUUCGUAUAGCCGUCUCUGCGGAAAAGUGGUUCGUUUUUGGAAUAGAAUUAUUAUCGUGGUCAGCAUCGAGUGCUGAUCUGAAACCGAUCGAGAAUCUGUGGGGAAUUGUAGCAAUAAAAGUUGACGAUCAGGAGAAGCCAACUAUAGAAAAUAUCAAAUUGAACUGAAAAAAUGAGUAAAAUCCAAAGGUCAGACGGAUAUCUCAAGCGAAUAAAUUAGUGAACAGUGUUCCCAACAGGUUGAUGGAAGUAAUCGAAAGUAAAGAAAAAUCCGCUAAAUAUUGAAGGAAACGGUAACAAAGUUAGCAUUGAGUUCAUACUUUUCCACAGCCAGAACUUAUUUGCUUACUAAAUCUUGUGUACUCAGGGAGAAAAAGCAAAUUCGCAGUUUGUUUACACGAGUUUCAAAUGAUUCAAAGUGCAGCCGAAGAACGCUAUAAUUUUGGUUUCAAAGAUUUCGAAAUGGCGAUGAAAGACUCGAAGAGAAAGGGGAUCGUAUCAUCCCGAAAACUCUAGAUUUCUAUGAUCAUGAAAUACAAAAAGGGAUGGAUAUUACGUACAAGGAGAUCAACGAAAUCUAAUUAUAAGCGUUAUUGCGUAUUAAUAAUUGAACGAAACAUUCAUCCACGCGCUGGGAAUGAUAUUUCUAUAAUCAAGUUCAAUUCUCGUAAUUCCAAGUGCUAUAUUCGUUUCAAUCAAGUAUCAUUGACGCUAGCCGUUUGGACACAAAGAGGACAGUAGCAAGGCCUAAUUUCGCGAACCUGGAAAACGUCGAAGUCGAGGACUUUCAGGCCUCCCACGUAACGAGAUAAAUUGCCCUUGGACCCGUAGCGAACAUAGACGAUAACGCCUUAAAAAGGAACUGCUUCUCAGCCUCGCAAGUUCGCUUGAGGAGCCAAUCAACUACGAACUUCCAAAGCAAACACAUAGUCUGCCGCGAUAGUUCAAUGGAGUCACACGAAUUAUAGAAAUGAAAAGGAAUUCGAUCAAAUUUCUCUAUGUAAGUUGUCCUUAUUGCCUACGACAUAAAAAGCGUACAUCGUUGACAAUCAAGCUGAAGCGUAUGAUACGUUGAAUUCGAAAUUUCUCUGUGCUGAGCGAUGUGCGACGUGUAUCACGUAUGUAUACAAGGUUUCCGCGAAUUUCUCUAAUGUUUCGUUCACGCAAGCUGUUAGUUUCGCUUAAUCGCGACCAUGAGAUACAGGAACAAGGAAUACCUCGAGAUAAUCAAGACUUCGAAUGCCUAUAGCAGUAAUUUAUUCGCUGCUGUUCGCUAUUACGGAGAACGCUAUGCCAACCAACGUGUUCUUGAUGUCAGAAACGCUCUCUUUUAGAAAAUGCAUCCUUUGAAUCUCGAUAUCGACAUUGUAGUCGUGCGCGCGGACGUGCCAUCGAAGAUGAUGCUCUAGAUUCUAGAAGAUUCAUAUUCAUAACAAUCCUUGACUAACACCAUCGAUGAGACGAGAUUCUGCAAGAGUGUUCGUUAGACUCAACUAAGGAAUUUAGCCGUAAUUCGUUCGUGCUUUAAGGGAGAAAUCAACCCUCUCGUCCGAGUUGGCUUUCUAUGUAAAUGUUUAUAGAUCGUAAACGACAAAAGAUAUGAAAAAGUAAUUCAAAUUAAAGUUAUAUUGUGUUUUGAUACCUAUUAAUUUGCGCGAAAAAUUUAUUUAAAAAAUCAUUUCUUUGAGAAAUUUAAUUGCUUGCCCGCUUUCCUUACAGAAAUUUUAAUCUUCUUCGAAUCCAAUAGUGUAUCACAGUACAUAAUUAUUGUAAUUAUUUCUUCCAGAAUCGUUACUUUAAGUUUCGUAUAUUACCUGUGCUGGCUGUUAAUUCAGCAUGUAGUUGCGAGGCUGAUAACUUUUGCGAUAACGAUCGUUUCUCCAUACGUUUUACAUGAAAUAACCAUAAGAUUAAUUUCAUCGUAACGCGUCGGGAUAUUAAUCGAUGGAUGAUAACACAUUGUGCACACAAAUCUUUUAACGAAGUUUGUCAUGCUGAAACAAUAAAAAUGCAAAUCUAUUUAAGACCUAUAAAUAUACAGGACCGAAGGGAAUAAUUUGCUUUCAUUUAAUAAUUGACAAAAGAUAAGUAAAAUCAAACUGCGGAUAGUACAAUAUUACAAAAUCCAAUGCUUCAGUAUUGACCAAGUUAUAUUUUUUGAUAUUCAAGAAUGUGUUUCACAUUUAUACCUACUAAAUAGCAGUAAUUCUGCGUUCGAACAUAUUUUGGGUUGGAUAGCACUGUUCUGUGUUUUAAGGUUCAUUCAUCUAACACGGUUCAUUGUUCAGGAUUGUCUAUUCUUUGUUCGCUCUUCAUCGCAUACAAAUUGUUGAAGACUAACUCGCCGGAUAGUCGGUCGUGCGAAGAUCAGGCGGCCGUGUGACGAACUAUGGAUCCCGAAGAGGAACAAAUCUACGGAACAUGCAUCUAGCAUCGUUUAGCGGGAAAAUUACGGACAUGCCACAUGUAUCACGUCGAAUGAAGCAUUGCGAUUGAAGUUGAGAUUUUUCAUGCACCAAAGACGUUAAUGCGCCUAUGCACCUUUUAAGUGACAAAUAAGUCAUUCUUACAUAAUCUUUGGAGAAAAAGCAAAGAGGUACAGAAGAAAAGCUUCUUUUAUAUUUUCUAAGCAGUGGAGCAUACUAAGUGAUUGAGUAUUCUUUUAAAAGCAGUUCUUCUUAAGUUUUUAUUAACUUUAUAGAGAAGGGAUUUUAACCAAAGUUUACACGCACUAUGUUUCACUUAGAAAAAAUUCACAAUAGCUUUAUUGUUGUUGGUAGCCUGUGGAUAUUUAUGUUACUGAAAUGUGUAAAAAAAUAUGUUAAUAUAAUACGUAAGAUAUAUUGGAAAUCAUAUUAUUUGAACAUGGUAAUAAAAAAUACGAAUUUAAAUUA